AACAACUGUAUCUGCUACUUAAAGAACUGUGGGGAUUGAAUCCAUCAGAUGAGAGAGCCAAUCUCAAGUUCCUCGGCUCUUUACCAAACUCGGGCCAUUUAUCAGCAACAAGUUUCCAAGACGGGGAAUCCGCUGGAUCAGACAUAUGACCAUCAACUGAUUUUCCAACAGCAUGCCAAGUCAAACUCUUAGCUGUUUUAU
rnacentral:lncRNA from 1 species